ensembl:miRNA
UUAGGUUGGUGCAAAAGUUAUUGCAGUUUUUGCCAUUACUUUCAAUAGCAAAAACUGCAGUUACUUUUGAACCAACCUAAUAC